rnacentral:lncRNA from 1 species
CUUAUUUUUUUUAUAUUUUGGAGAAGCAGAGAUUACUGCAAUGCUGUCCCCGAAUGUGAACAAGUGUUCAAAAAUAGGCACAACUUGAGCGCAUCAAGGAUGCUGAUCAGUAUAGGUGGAUUUUUGAGGGCAAUACUCCAUGCAAAAGAAGAGAAACAGCUGUCUGUCCCCAAGCCUCAUUGGGAAUUAAUCCAGCUCAAAGCUGGAUUAACUUCUAUUAAAAAAAAAAAAAAAAAAGCCCACAAACUUGUAUUCCACUGCCACAUAUGGCGAUUAUUUAGACUGCAAAUAUUAGGCAGGGCUAGCUGGUUGGGUACUAGAGAAAGACUCCUUUAAAUCACUUAUUUUUAUCCUGUUGAAAAAAUGGGGUGGAGGGGAAAAAGCAUCUGUCACCCAUCUGAGUUUGGAGAGAGAUGAGUAGUGCAGGAGAGUGUUGGAACAUCUCUAACAUGAUGCAAGGUUGCGUGGAGCCAUUGAGGGAAGGCACUGCAGUGCUGCAAGGCAGCACAGUCUCUGCCCCCGGCCCUGCCCUUCUUUUGCUCUGUACGAACUCAUAUCAAAGGAGGAAAUUCUGUACUCAGAGGAUAGUGAGGCCCUGGCACAGGUUGCCCAGAGAAGCUCUGGGUGCCCCAUCCCUGGAGGUGCUCAAGGCCAGGUUGGAUGGGGCCCUGAGCAACUUGGUCUGAUGGGAGGUGUCCCUCCCAGGGCAGAGGCUGGAACUGGAUGAUCUUUAAGAUCUUCUCAACCCAAACCAUUCUAUAAUUUUAUAAGAUUUUAUAGGAUUUUUCCAUUUUAGAGUGGCAUUUGAUGGUCAUGUAUACACCUUGGGAAGCGCAGUGAGGCAUGCUGGUGUGUCAUUCAUUCAGGAUUUACAUGUUCAUACACAAAAAAACCCUUUCUUUUCUUUCUUUUUUUUUUUCCUUCUUUUUUUGCCAUGCAGACUCAGCAGUGAUUGAAAUAACUAAAAUGAGAAAAAGAAAAUUGUUGGUUUUAUUAGAGCGGGUUUCAAGGUCUGUCUGUUUGUGCACAGUCCAGAUCUCAGACAGCUCAGCUCAGGGUUUGUACUAUCAGGAGAACGGAAGAGCUGGCAAGCUGAGACACUACCAGUACUUUGUGGAAACCGACAUAUGA